rnacentral:rRNA from 1 species
AUUGAACGCUGGCGGCGUGCAUAACACAUUCAAGUCGAACGGUGACGGAGGCUUCGGCCUCCUGAUCAGUGGCGGACGGGUGAGUAACGCGUGAGCAAUCUACCUCUUGGUGAGGGAUAACGACCGGAAACAGUUGCUAAUACCUCAUGAAACGGCAGCAUCGCAUGGUGCAACCGUCAAAGAUUUAUUGCCAAGAGAUGAGCUUGCGUCUGAUUAGGUAGUUGGUGAGGUAACGGCUCACCAAGCCGGCGAUCGGUAGCCGGACUGAGAGGUUGAACGGCCACAUUGGAACUGAGAUACGGUCCAG